GUCGCCUCCUGCCCUUGCAAGCCAGGUCCCUUUUGUUCCCCCAGCCUGGGAGGAGGCGACUGCGCCUGGGGACUGCCUGUCACAGAGUCCUGCAGACCCUGCUCAGCUCAGGUCGCGCCCAUCCCGGCCGGGCGACGAGCCUGCGGGCCGCGGGGAUGAGCGGCCCAGCCCGGGCAGGGGGCGGCAGCCAGUGCGAGGAUGGAGAGGCCGCCGUCCCCCGUGCAGCCCCCAGAUCCGGCAAGCCCCACCCUCCCAGGCCUGCAGCCCAAGUUGGGCCUCAAGUGCUUGCCCUCUCCCCUCCCCACGUCCCUCCAAGAGCUUGUUAAUGUGUGUUGUCCCCUGGGAGGGCCCUCCCCAGUGCUGAAAUGGGAGGGGAGAACAGGAAAGGCAAGCCCCUCACUCCUCCCUUCUUGCCAGGGCCCAGGUCUCUGGCCCCAGCUGGCUGCUGUGAGGUCUUUGAUUUCUUAAGGACAGAAGCCCUGGUCUCCCCCCAGCACCCCAGCCUGGAGUGGUGGAGGUUAUGGGUGGGAGUCAUUCAAGACCCCCCUCUGCUACUUACAGGUGGAUUGGAGGGCAAACAAGGCAGUGCUCGCAGAGCCCUGGUUUGGGACUGGCCCAGGGCGAGUGGCAGUUGGCUGCCAUCCCUGUUGUGGUUGCUGUGUGGUGAGGCCUUUGGUGGCUGAGCCUUGAGGACAGCGUUUUGACUCUAGCAGAGACCCAGCCCUGGCGUCCACUGACUGGUCUUGAUGACAGGCAGAGGCUGCUGGUGCAGAGCAGGCUCCGGGUCGUGCCUGGGCCCUGCCAGCCUCCCGCACUGGCAUGGCUGCAGGGGGCAGCCCCUUGGUCCCACCACAAAGGCCCUUAGGGACCCAUCACACUCCCUUCAGGGACCCCCAGCCCAUUGUCAUUUACUUAACAGGUGGCGGGUGCUCAGAAAGCAUGUGUCGAUGAAUGAAUGAACGAGUGAGUGCCCUUUCCCUCGAGGCAAAUGUGACUUCUCUUUAUCAUCUCAUGUGACUCACGUCCUGGCCUGCUGCAGCUACAGAAAGGACAGUGCCCACGUGUCGAGGCCAGAAGAGCUGAACUCCACAGCAGCCCCGUCUGUGCGCUGUAGGGUCUUGCCUCUGGCCCACGGCAUCGUCAUGGGCACGUGGGGCUAGUCUCCCCGCCCCAGGCUGGCUUUGAGGAUUCCAGGCAUUUAUCUCUUGCAGGGAACCAGGGCAGGGAGAUACCACCCAAAUGGCAGCUGCCCCCACAGCAGGACUCAGUUCAAAGUGCUCUUUCUGGGGGGCCUCCUUAGCACAUAUGUGUGCAAUUUUCCCUGUGUCGUUGCAUAAUCCUUCAUGUGCUGCUCUGCAGUUGGUCUCAAAUGGCCUCCUCAUAAUAAAUAGC